CCCGCACAAGCGGUGGAGUAUGUUGUUUAAUUCGAAGAUACACGAAGAACCUUUACCAGGUCUUGACAUACCAUUGACAGGCGCAGAGAUGUGCUCUUCUUCGGGACAAUGGAUACAGGUGGUGCAUGGUUGUCGUCAGCUCGUGCCGUGAGGUGUUGGGUUAAGUCCCGCAACGAGCGCAACCCCUAUUGCUAGUUACUAACAUUGAGUUGAGGACUCUAGUGAGACUGCCAGUGACAAACUGGAGGAAGGUGGGGAUGACGUCAAAUCAUCAUGCCCUUUAUGACCUGGGCUACAAACGUACUACAAUGGCCAAUACAAAGAGGUGCGAAGUUGUGAGAUGGAGCGAACCUCAAAAAAAUGGUCUCAGUUCAGAUUGAAGUCUGCAACUCGACUUCAUGAAGGCGGAAUCGCUAGUAAUCGCGGGUCAGCAGACCGCGGUGAAUACGUUCCCGGGCCUU
rnacentral:rRNA from 1 species